rnacentral:lncRNA from 1 species
UAUUAAAAAUGAAUAAAAAUCAAGAUCAAAUAUUCAACAUCAACAGAAUAUAAAAAAAAUUAAUGAAGAAACAUUGAAAUCCGAUCGUAUUGAAAUCUUUCAGGUAAGAUACAUUUCCAAAUAUAUGGCUCUUGUCCUUUGUCUGCAAAUAAUGAGCAUCCCUUUCUGGUUGGCUAAAUGAACCUCUCGACUAAUUCAUAUUGCCUUAAAGAAUCACAUAGAGACGCCUAUCCAGUGAUUCUUUUCAUUACAUGGAUGAUGAUGCAUCAAAUGCUUUCAAAGAAUAAACAUAUCAAAGCUUUUUAAUGUCUCAACCUUAUUGCCAUUGCAAGGAAUUUACAUCUUGUGAAGAAGAUACAACUGAUUAUCAUACAAAUGCAAGAAACUUUAACCAAGGCACAAAUUUGCAGAAUUGAAGCUCCAAUGAACAUAGAAAUGCAUCAAAGUCAUUCAUCACCGUAUUGUAAUAAAUUCAUAACUUUAGCGGGGGUACAAAGUUGUGGAAUUGAAGUUCCAAUGAACAUAGGAAUGCAUCAAAGUCAUUCAUCACCGUACUGUAAUAAAUUUGUAACCUGCACAGAAGAUGCACCUGAUGAUUAUCAUUAUAUGAAUACAAGAAACUUCAGGGGAGAGACAAAUUUGUGGAAUUGAAGUUCCAAUGAACACAGGAAUGUAUCAAAAUCACCCAUCACCAAAUGAAAUUAAAGCUUCCUCUCAUUGCAUAGUAUCAAAUUUGCCCCCCCCCCAUCCCAUCACUAAAUACUUAGAUCUUCUUUUCUAUGACCUCACUCCUUCAAUGGUAUUUUUUAACAUCAUCGAGUAAUGCAUUUUAUAGGCA